rnacentral:tRNA from 1 species
AAGAUAAUAGUUUAUAAAGAACACUUGUUUUGCGUACAAAAGGUAUUUAUGUUUGUCUUA